AGCGAACGCUGGCGGCAGGCUUAACACAUGCAAGUCGAGCGGGCGUAGCAAUACGUCAGCGGCAGACGGGUGAGUAACGCGUGGGAACAUACCUUUUGGUUCGGAACAACACAGGGAAACUUGUGCUAAUACCGGAUAAGCCCUUACGGGGAAAGAUUUAUCGCCGAAAGAUUGGCCCGCGUCUGAUUAGCUAGUUGGUGAGGUAACGGCUCACCAAGGCGACGAUCAGUAGCUGGUCUGAGAGGAUGAUCAGCCACAUUGGGACUGAGACACGGCCCAAACUCCUACGGGAGGCAGCAGUGGGGAAUAUUGGACAAUGGGCGCAAGCCUGAUCCAGCCAUGCCGCGUGAGUGAUGAAGGCCCUAGGGUUGUAAAGCUCUUUUGUGCGGGAAGAUAAUGACGGUACCGCAAGAAUAAGCCCCCGGCUAACUUCGUGCCAGCCGCCGCCGUAAG
rnacentral:rRNA from 1 species